rnacentral:lncRNA from 1 species
UAACAUUUCGAAACUAUCAAAUGGAUCUUUCAUACUCCUCGAAAGUAACCAUGGGAUUGGAGUUCAUCUUACUUUCUUUUAACUUCCCUAUAUCAUUAGAUUGCUCGGCUAAAUACCUAAUGACCAUUUUCUCCAGGUUCUCAGCAUGCUCAAGAAUAUACCUUGCUAACUCAAUUCCAUUAAACCCAGCACUAAGCUCUAUGGUAACAUCCUCAACCUGAGAAAUAAAUCCCAGGUUUUGCAUCUUCCAAUACUCAAUAUCAAACCUGGAUGUCUGUAAACAAAACAAAAAAUGAUAACAAGCAACUUAGUUUCAAUUUUUAUUUUUUAUUUUUUAUUUUUAAAUAUAACCAAAGACAAAAAAAGAAAGGAAAAUCAUAUUUGAAAAAAAAUUGCUUAUCUUAAAAGAAUGAAGGAUAUGCUACUGACUCUAGAAAAUAUAAGAUAGAGAAUGAAACGAACUUAGCUUACAUUAUAUUUAGGGACGAGUGAGGUUGGCUUAUACCGAAUGUAUAAAGUACACAACUCUGGUGUUCCUCUUAAAAGACAGACGACUGCUGGGACUAGAUCAUCAGUAAAGCUACCAAUCUUCAUUUGCAAGUACCAAACCUCAUCUAACUGAACUUGCACGCGUUCCUCCUUGCAUGCAGCCUGCAAUAUUAUUAAGGCAGAACUUCGGUCAUGUUUGCCAUGCCAUCUUACUUUCUCUUUCAAACAAAAGAUAAGAAUAAAUAUGAACAUUCAUUCUUGCUACUGAGACCAUUAUUUAUGUAACAGUGCAUUUAGAAACAACAGAGAAAUUGUCAGAAACACAAAGUGGCCAAGUUAAAAUGCAGUCCCAGGGUUUCAAUUCACUUUACCUUGAUGGUAGCUUCAUUCAGAACAAGAACUUUAACACUGCACAAACUGGAGAGAACCUCAUAUACUUUGUCAAACUCAUCUACUAUAGGCUCCAUAAGAAUAGCAGCUUCUUCCAAACAAUUCAAUUCUCCCAGAUUUAGGUCAUUUUUCACAUUCCCCUCCAAAAGCAAACGUUUAACAUUUGGAGCAACAAUUUUUAAUACGGCGCUGCUAGGUGAAUGAUAGCAGUUGACAUUUAUUUCUUCAAGUUUCCCACCAGAGAUGUUAAUAUGGCAGGUUUCAAAAAUCAUGUAAUUAAAGAAAUCAAAUUUUUCCAAAGAUGAGCUUUCAAUAGUGACAUUAUAUAUCUCACAAUCUGUAAGAGAGAUAUCCUUCAAGGAUUUGCAGGAACAGGAAAUCCACUUGAAAAACCCCUCGUCCUGUAUAAUAAUGUCUCUCAAAUCCAACCUUUUGAGAUUGGAGGAAAAAGUGAAUGAGGGUGUUUUAAAAACUGUAUGUGGCAUCUCAACCACUAAAGACCUCAAUGAUGAUGAACGAAAGAUGCAAGAUGGAAAUGCUAUUGGUUCUCCCUCAAAAUCAAAAUAAGCGACUGCAAGAUGAACCUUUUCAACUUUACACCUCACAGCAUUCUGGAUCCAGGUGUUUAUUCGGAAAUUCUCAUUAACACAGAAGCAAGGUUCGUCAAGCUCUUCAUCACUGUGACCAUCCCAAAACAGACAAAAGCUCUUCAUCUCAUUAUCCCCACGACUAAGCAAGAACCUAUCCAAUGUAUUCACCAACUUCAACCUAAGCUCACACGCCAUAUCCGCCAUUUCAUCUGUAUUAAAUCCACAGAAGUUCACCGACGGAGACGACAGACAUAACUCUCUCCAUCGUUUGGAGACACAGCAGAAUCUAGCAAGGUCUUUAACCACAAAAUCAGAAAGAAUGUGAUGAAUAACUCCCUCGGGAAGAUUGCUAAAUCUGUCUAUCAUAUUCACAGUACAGAGCCCUUCACCCUCACAACUUCCAGUAGCCAAUGACUUACGCUUCUGUGCCAUCAUACUUUAACUUCUAUUUCUCCAAAUCUACAAUAACAAGAGAAAUGAGGGCCAAAUUCUCUAAACAUAAGUCAAAAGAAUUUCACACCAAAAUUCUCUUACAUAUAUAAUCUGGGUUUAGUUCAAUCAAUGAAAACUAACUAAUUUAUGCUACAAAUCUACGAGAAAUUGAUGACUGAAACUGUAAAUUAUAUUCAUUCAAAUUGUGAGCUAGAGCAAAAACAGAGUAUUGAUAGUGUAGAUAGAUUACGUACCACCAUUGAUGUACCCAACAGCUGGAAUUCGAUGGAUUGAGAGUUGACUCCGGAAGCAGAACGAACCCUAAUUUUGCAGAAUUGGGGCGAUUCUGAAAUGAAGACUCGCAUAUAAGAUAGCUAGAGAAGGACUUGACCCGUUAAACAUGGGUGCGGGUCGGGAAAAUAGCCCAAUAAUCAGAACCCAAAAAGAGGCCUGCUAAAAUAUGGCGGGAAAGUAGAGAUUAUGUGACUUUUCAGUCUCUUUAGCCUCUAUUUUGGUAACUGAUCAUGCUUAUGUAAAUUACUGGAAAUUUAGUUGAUUGGUAAAAAGUUGUGUUUUCUUUUGGAUCAAUUGAGUUUCUGGAAACAUAAAAUCAUGGUCAUGAGGAUCGUUUAUCUCUCGAGUCUCGACUGUAAUAAAAGUAGUGAUAUGGGUCUAAUGUUUGGUUUAUGCCAAAUGUAUUUUUUUUUUUUUUGGUUGUGGUUUAUGGCAAAUGAUGAGGCCAGGAAAAGUUUGUAACUUCGUUUUUCUGUGAAAUUUCUUUUUUAGCUUUAUGGAAGACGAGAGAGACAUAUUCAAACUUGCAAAGGAAAGCAAUCGUAAUAGCUCAUAAUCCCGUACUCAAUUACACAUUUGACCCAACAAUCAUGACGAGCCGUCGUCCCGGCCGCUCCCCGCUCCUCAACCCAUCACCCUUCAACAUCUACCUCUUUCCACCCUUCAAAUUGUCACUGUUUUGAGGGAUAAGUUGGAGCUGCAGGCGGAGUACAGGUCGAAGUGGUAAAAAAAGGAUGGAGGAACAGAGGAACAAGGAUGAGACUCAUGAGAGUGAGAUUAGGGAGAGUCUGGUGAGAUUAAACAAGAUAAGAUGGCUAACACAUGCGAGGUUGAUGUCCAUCACUAACUCGGGGAAAUAUAGGACAUUCAAGGGCACGUGAAUAUGCCUCGGGAAAAUCCAGAAAUCCGGAAACUUUGCAAAAGAUUAAUGAUAGGACAGGAUCAGUACUCAUGUUCAAAAAUGCAAAUGCCUGUGCCCAGCCACCAUGAAGACCAUGACCGAGUGGGCAAGAUAUGUGUUUACUCUGUCACGACUCACGACCAGUAUGAUCCAUAAAAUAAGGCAGAUACUUUACACUAAUAUCAAACCGGAUCAUUCAACGUUACACACGGAGUCUGAAAUAACAUAAACAGAAAGUCAGAACUAUCAAGAGGAUCUUUCAUAAACCUCGAAUGAAGGGCCUUUCAUAUUCCUCGAAAGUAACUGAGGGAUUGGAGAUCAUCUUACAUUCUUUUAACUUCCCUAUAUCAUUAGAUUGCUCGGCUAAAUACCUAAUGACCAUUUUCUCCAGGCUCUCAGCAUGCUCAAGAAUAUACCUUGCUAACUCAAUUCCAUUAAACUCAGCACUAAGCUCUAUAGUAACAUACUCAACCUGAGAAACAAACCCCAGGUUUUGCAUCUUCCAAUACUCCAUAUCAAACCCAGAUGUCUGUAAAAAAAAAAAAAAA